ACAGAAUGCUUAACACAUGCAAGUCUACUUGAACUUCGGUUCGGGUGGCGGACGGGUGAGUAACGCGUAAAGAACUUGCCUCACAGUUAGGGACAACAUUUGGAAACGAAUGCUAAUACCUGAUAUUAUGAUUUUAGGGCAUCCUAAGAUUAUGAAAGCUAUAUGCGCUGUGAGAGAGCUAUGCGUCCCAUUAGCUAGUUGGAGAGGUAACGGCUCACCAAGGCGAUGAUGGGUAGCCGGCCUGAGAGGGUGAACGGCCACAAGGGGACUGAGACACGGCCCUUACUCCUACGGGAGGCAGCAGUGGGGAAUAUUGGACAAUGGACCAAAAGUCUGAUCCAGCAAUUCUGUGUGCACGAUGACGUUUUUCGGAAUGUAAAGUGCUUUCAGUUGGGAAGAAAAAAAUGACGGUACCAACAGAAGAAGUGACGGCUAAAUACGUGCCAGCAGCCGCGGUAAUACGUAUGUCACAAGCGUUAUCCGGAUUUAUUGGGCGUAAAGCGCGUCUAGGUGGUUAUGUAAGUCUGAUGUGAAAAUGCAGGGCUCAACUCUGUAUUGCGUUGGAAACUGCAUGACUAGAGUACUGGAGAGGUAAGCGGAACUACAAGUGUAGAGGUGAAAUUCGUAGAUAUUUGUAGGAAUGCCGAUGGGGAAGCCAGCUUACUGGACAGAUACUGACGCUAAAGCGCGAAAGCGUGGGUAGCAAACAGGAUUAGAUACCCUGGUAGUCCACGCCGUAAACGAUGAUUACUAGGUGUUGGGGGUCGAACCUCAGCGCCCAAGCUAACGCGAUAAGUAAUCCGCCUGGGGAGUACGUACGCAAGUAUAAACUCAAGGGAAUUGACGGGGACCCGCACAAGCGGUGGAAGCAUGGUGGUUUAAUUCGACGCAACGCGAGGAACCUUACCAGCGUUUGACAUCUU
rnacentral:rRNA from 1 species